GGUAGAUGUCACAAGGUAAGGAGAUUUGAAAGAAACAUUUAAAUACACAAAACAAUAAAUACAGGUGAAGAAAUAAAAAUGAUCUGUUCUUUCUGUUUCCAAUUCACCUUCUGACUGCUUACUUUUCCAAGAUCGAUGGAGAUUAUUCCAUGAAUCUCUGUUGUGUGCCCCUUCGACUUCCUGUCUGUGGCGUUAUGAUGCGAAGCAAAUUUAAAUG